CGCAGAUCGUCUAGCGAGUCGACCGGCAUCUUCAUCACGGAUUUUAUGAAGUCAACGGUGUAAUAAAAAGCUGCAAACGCCUGAAAAAAAUUAAAAAUAAAUAACCAUUAGUGCACCCGGGAGUCAAUUCGCAGAAGGAACACAACAAUCUCCUCAUUCAAUCAGAAAAGCUACAAUCACAGUCUAAAAGAUGUCAAGCCUUAGCGCCCUGUGGAUCACAGUGUGCGGACCCAGGACGGAGAGACAGGCGGCUGAUGUGAGCACUGAAGAGAAAGGUGGCGACCCUAACGGAGAGGCAUGGAGAUAAAGCAAUAUGAGGGGGAGAAAAGCAGGAUGUGCACAUGUAUAUUUAUAUCCAGGUGGGUGACAGCCCUCUGUAGCCUGCAAGAAGGCCAACCAUCACCUGUCUUCAGUUAUAACUGGAAGAGCAGCUCCGGAGAACAAACUGAUGCUCCGACAGCAAAGUCAAGAAUAAAACAGAACAAGAACAACCGGUUAAUAAUAAGUUUUCCUGUCACUGGCAGAACAUGUCACCUCCCACAGAUACAACUGCGGGUCAGUUAUCUUUACGGAAAUAUUUCCAGCCAAGAUUGGACGGAGUCCUGGCUCCGCUGACCUUGUCUUCAUUGACAUCACCAUGGUGAACGGAAUGGGAUCCAGAAAUACUGAGGACAAAUUGAGCCCUACAGAACUGGAACGUCCUGACCCCCGAAAGACCUUGUUGUUUAGAAUAUGACGAAAAAGUUUAAAUCUUAUAAAUGUAAUUAAAAAUUUUUUUUAAAAAAAACGGAAUGUGUGAAACGAGCAAUUAAUACAGUCACUUACAAAGCGUGGCCUAUUAUAUACCGCCAGAA